AAUAUUGGACAAUGGUUGCAACGCUGAUCCAGCCAUGCCUCGUGUUUGAAUAAGAUCUUCGGAUUGUAAAGCACUUUAAGUUGAGAGGAAGGGUUGUCGAUUCAUACUCUGCAAUUUUGACGUUACCAACAGAAUAAGCACCGACUAACUUCGUGCCUUAAGCUGCGGUAAUACGAAGGGUGCAAGCGUUAAUCGGAAUUACUGGGCGUAAAGCGCGCGUAGGUGGUUCAGUAAGAUGGGUGUGAAAUCCCCGGGCUUAACCUGGGAACUGCUUUCAUAACUGCUGAGCUAGAGUACGGUAGAGGGUAGUGGAAUUUCCUGUGUAGCGGUGAAAUGCGUAGAUAUAGGAAGGAACACCAGUGGCGAAGGCGACUACCUGGACUGAUACUGACACUGAGGUGCGAAAGCGUGGGGAGCAAAC
rnacentral:rRNA from 1 species